CGGCGCUCUCAACCUCUCAACCUCUCAACCUCAAAACCUCUCAACCCGGACACAAUCACUCCCGGCUGACAGGAGGCUGCGGUCCAGCUGGGAACUCUUGCUGAUCAACAUUUUUGCACAUUGAUGCCUAAUAAACAACUUUUCUGUUCUGGGAGAGGCCCAGCCUGCUGAAGCACGAUGGUCUCCACCCAAACCGACAUGGAGCCAGGCUGCUAUCUGACAACAUAACGACCACACUGAAAUUCCCAGAGAUGUGAGCCUUGUGACAGUUGAAGGUGUGUUCUUAGAAAGAGACAAUGCAGGUGUUGCCUAUUUGGGAGCUUUCCAUCCCUCUCCCAGCAGUGCUGAUGAUUAAUCUGAGUCUCUACAUGAUCUUCCUGGGGAUCGGGCUGUGGAUCCAAUCCUGCCUCAAGGCCUUUCUCCUCACUACAGUUUGUAAAAUGUAAAAUACAUCAAAUGUGCUGUUUACUGGAACUUGCACUAAACAUAGUAGCACGGAUGUAGAGGAAGAUGAAUAGGAAAGUAAACCCAGGCCUAUCAACACUAAACUCAAGUCACCAUGUGGAGAAUGUGACAACUUUGUGGCUCCCCCUGGUGUUAGAAACCAGACAAACCAUGCCUUCCUAGGACAAAUCUAUACUUUUUUUUUCUUCAAUUUUCUGGUCUUGCACUACUCCAGGAAAGUUGUCUGAGGUUAUUCAAGUUUUUUCUUAGGGUGUGAUUGUCUUAUUUUUCCAAAAACAAAAUGUUAUUCUAUUACAAUCAUUAUACAAAUGCUAUAAUCAUAUAACAUGGUACACCAAGUCUAACAUUUUGUACAUUUCUACAAACUCAGUGAUGACUGAAGGGAGCGGUUAUUUCUGUGUAUUAAGCAAUCAUAAUUUGAUCUGGUCCCUCUUAAAAACAGUAUUUUACAUUAUGCCAGUGUGGAAACACUUUUCUACAAUGUACUUGGAAUAGAGCAGAUUUUCUUCUUUAGAUAUAAAAAAAAAGGUUUUCACUUAGUCAUGUAUAAAUUACAGAGAAAGUUGUUGUGAAGCAUUUGGCGUCAUCUUUUUUUGACCAGCUUCAAUUCCUUCAGUUUGCAUAUAAAAGAUCAAGACUAAUGAUGGAACCUUGAACUAGUUAAU